rnacentral:rRNA from 1 species
AACGCGAAGAACCUUACCUACCCUUGACAUGCCAGGAACCCUGCAGAGAUGCGGGGGUGCCCGAAAGGGAACCUGGACACAGGUGCUGCAUGGCUGUCGUCAGCUCGUGUCGUGAGAUGUUGGGUUAAGUCCCGCAACGAGCGCAACCCUUGCCAUUAGUUGCUACAUUCAGUUGGGCACUCUAAUGGGACUGCCGGUGACAAACCGGAGGAAGGUGGGGAUGACGUCAAGUCCUCAUGGCCCUUAUGGGUAGGGCUUCACACGUAAUACAAUGGCGCAUACAGAGGGCUGCAAACCCGCGAGGGGGAGCCAAUCCCAAAAAGUGCGUCGUAGUCCGGAUUGUUCUCUGCAACUCGAGAGCAUGAAGUCGGAAUCGCUAGUAAUCGCGGAUCAGCAUGUCGCGGUGAAUACGUUCCCGGGUCUUGUACACACCG